rnacentral:rRNA from 1 species
AUAAUCCUACGGGGGGCAGCAGUGGGGAAUAUUGCACAAUGGGGGAAACCCUGAUGCAGCGACGCCGCGUGAGUGAAGAAGUAAUUCGUUACGUAAAGCUCUAUCAGCAGGGAAGAAACACUGACCUUACGGUCAGCAGACGGUACCUGAGUAAGAAGCCCCGGCUAACUACGUGCCAGCAGCCGCGGUAAUACGGAGGAUGCGAGCGUUAUCCGGAUUCAUUGGGUUUAAAGGGUGCGCAGGCGGGCCUUUAAGCCGGCGGUGAAAUCGCGGGGCUCAACCCCCCCGAG